GACGUAGGGCGCGAGCGUUGUCCGGAUUUAUUGGGCGUAAAGAGCUCGUAGGCGGCUUGUCGCGUCGAAUGUGAAAACCCACAGCUCAACUGUGGGCUUGCAUUCGAUACGGGCAGGCGUAGAGUUCGGUAGGGGAGACGUGGAAUUCCUGGUGUAGCGGUGAAAUGCGCAGAUAUCAGGAGGAACACCGGUGGCGAAGGCGGGUCUCUGGGACGGUACUGACGCUGGAGA
rnacentral:rRNA from 1 species